CUUAUUUUCUGAAUAAUGCUGUAAAUGGGAAAGGACAUGGUGAGGGGAGAACGGAACCUCACGGGCAUGGCCUGGGCUACAUUUGUUUCUUAUAGCCUCAUGCUUUGUAUCUCCUAAGGACAUAAAACUAUUAGAGAGUGUCCAAGGGAGGGCUAUGAAGAUGGUGAAGGGUCUGGAGGGCAAGACACAUGUGGGUGGCUGAGGUCCCUGGGUUUGCUCAGCCCCGAGCAGAGCAGGCUGAGGAGAGGCCUCAUGGCGGCCUGCAGCUCCCUCACGAGGGGAGCGGAGGGGCAGGCGCUGAGCUCUGCUCUCUGGGGACAGCGACAGGACCCGAGGGGACGGCAUGGAGCUGGGACAGGGGAGGGUCAGGCUGGGGUUAGGGAAAGGGUCUGCACCCAGAGGGUGCUCGGGCACUGGGACAGGAUCCCCAGGGAUGCGGUCAUGGCACCGAGCUGCCAGAGUUCAAGAAGCACUUGGACAACACUCUCAGACAUAGGGUCUGAUUUUUGGGUGGAGCCAGGAGGUGGUCUCGGUGAUCCUUGUGGGUCCUUUCCCACUCGUGACAUUCUGUGAUUCUGUGACCCCCAGCACCCCACUGGGCAAUGUGCCGGGCUUUAACUCUGUUACACUGUAUGACGUACAAACGGGAUUUAAGAAAAGCUCUUAAAAUAUGUGGUGGGCACCAGGCAUCCCGUGUCCGCCUCCCAGACGCAGCCAUUUAUUUCACCUUCCCCCCGCGGCUGCUGGCGGGGCUGACAGCGGGGCGAGCCCCAGCCCCUGCCCUGCUUGGCUGCGGCUCCCUCGGCCACCUCGGGGGCAAACCGGAGGCGAAGAGGUGUGUGUUUGUGCAUGUAUGGUGUACGUGGGGUGUGUUUGUGUGUGUGUAUUUGUGUAUUUGUGCCCCGUGUGCGUGGCGGGCGGGGCACAGCCGCCUCCCCGCCGCGGGGUGGGGGGAUCGCAGCCAGCUCCCUGCCAGCGCCCCGCUCCCAGCCGCCGCAUGUAUCAAAGAUGCAGACUUUGGGAUAGAUUGCACGAUGAGCACAUUAACGCAGGACGAACAGUUCAGGUAAGGAUACUAAAAUCACUGUGGCAUUAAGAGAAUUAAAUAUUCCAUUAUUAAAUUCCAUAUAAUACUGGUUGCUUCAGAGACAGAUCUUGACAGAGAAGUGUAUUUGACAGAUGGAUUUGACAGGUAUGUGGUGUUGCUUUACUUUGUUUAAGAGGUUAGGGAUUUCCUAAUUGUAUAUUGUGAGGCAAAUACUGUCAGAAAGGUUUUGAAACAUAUAACAACAAUGGGUCAUCACUGGGAAUUUUCAGAAUUCUUGAACAAUAUGUCUUAGUCACCUCUUCAAGUAAAGCUGUCUUAUAAUAAAUUUUGUUGUGUAAACUUAUGGUGAAUUUUUAGACACUGAGUAUCAUUCCAAAUACACAAGCAACUGCUGGUGUCCCGGUCAGUAUUUGUAUAUAGCUUUAAGUGAAACAAAGUUUGGAAACUUUGGUCUUCAGUAAGCUAUCCUAUUGCAUUACUAAAUUAGAUGAUGUUAAUUGCAAUAAUAAGAUAAUAUUGGUUCUAAAGUAUGGUUUCAGCCCAAACACAGAACAUCUGGACUACUAGUUUGGUGUGCAAAUCUAUUAUUAGAUGCAUCAUGUCAUCAAAGGAUGAAAUACCAGACCCAUUUGUCUGCAUGGCAUCAUCUCGGUGACUUCAUGCAUAGUCAACCAUAACUCAGCAGACAGGGAAUCUCACAUCUGUUUUUUAAAAAAACGCAUGUCUGGAUGUAAAUGGUGCCAAAGCUAAUGCCAAACAUCAGUCUUCAUGCUGCUAAAUAGUACGCAGCCAAAGAAGAUUAUCAGUGCAGAAACCACGAAGACCAGAUCUGCAUUACAACAUUCUGCUGACGCAGAUAUAGCAGCCAGUGGUUAUAACACUGCUGUACUGGCAAAACUCUGGGAACAGAUGUAUUUUAGCCAGCAGGAGAGGCAUCUUGUGUUGGUUUCACAUGUGGUUUUCAGAGCAGGAGUAUGAUUUUGUUGCCAGAACAAACCGUUUGCGACCCGUACUGCCUCAUGACAAGCAGGCUUUGCCAGUAGGGGUAGCACAGUUCUAAAACACUGUGUUUUAUAAUUAUGAUACUGUGAGUUCCCAUGUUUGUUGCAAUACCUUCCCAACUCCUAUGGGAAAUGAGGCCAGAAAAAAAAAAAAUCAGAAAGAACUUAAUCCUAAUUGAACAACAGUAUUAGACAGAAGUCAGAGCUAGAGGUACAUGUCUUUUUUUGAGGUCUGGAAGGUAUUAAAGAGGUUUUAUAGUGUAGAUGUUAAGAAGUUAUACCUGAAAUCCACUUGAUUUUUCUUUUAUUUGGAGGUUUGCAUGUUUAUUAUGUUUUUCACCAAACACUUUUGAAAUUUGAAUAUGUUUAUUGUUAGUGUUGGCAAAAGAGUCUGCCAAAGGUGUUUGCAAAAUCAGUCCUAUUAAAACAAUGUCAUUCUAACAGGUGUGUAGAAAGCAGGUGUUUGCCUAUGUCUGUGAUCAAAUCUAUUUUCACAUAUAAAGGGUAGGAAAGGUUACUCUUGGAACUCCUUAUCAUGAGUACCAUUUGUCUACCAAGACAAACUCUUGAUAAGAGUUAGGGCAAUAGCAGUCAUGUUGAGGACGUUGUUUUUAAAUACAUUAAGUGCUCUAGUAAUAAAAACUCUUACUUGUCUCUAGAAAGAUUUAUGCUUGUCUUGAGCCUAAAGCCUGCCAUUUUCACCUUCUGUCAAAACAGAUUUUCUUAUUUUUUAUAUAGUACUUUUUGCUUUUAGAUCUGGGUGCAGGUUACACAUUAACACAUGUUUGGAUACCCACAGAGCAGAAUAAGUAUCAGGGUCCAUGCAAGAAGUGUGGAGUAGCUCUCUGUUUUAAUUAAAAGAGUUAGUAGUCUGGAGUACUUGAUAAUAAAUUAUACGACAUGUAGAAUGUGUUUGCUGUAAGCUGUUUAAAUGUUUACCGAUGGACUUGUGAUCUGUUUGUUUGUGAAGAAAUCAGAUUAAUUAUUGUGAUACCAAAUGUUCUCUGCAGCACACACUUUGCUCUCAAAAUUAGAUGUUGUAAAAAUACAUUAGGAAUCCCUAAGUCAAUAUUGACCCAAGGCAUCCGCCACAGGUUUUAGACAAAUAUAUGCACAGCCACUCUACAUUUAAUCCAUGUGCACAUAAUUAGCCAUUUUUCUGAAUUUUCAGUUUACCCAGAAUAAUUACUUCUGUUGUACGUUUGAUGAUGGUCAAAAUUAUAAUAGAAGGAUAGCAUAAGUGUGUUAUACCUCUUCUUUCUGGUGACUGAGUGCCACAUUAAAAACUUCUGAAAAGGAAGGUGAAGAAAGUGGGAAAAUCUUUGUGUGAGAGAUGAUGACACCCUUUCAGAAAUAUUAAGAAAAUGGCUUUUGUAUACAAUAUUUUUUAUGGUGUCAGGGAAGUGUCAUGUAAAAUCAGUUCACUGUCGUAGCCUGUUGCCAUCUGUAGGGUAAAUAUAGCCAAGAUUUAGAUUUUGUUUGACCUGCAUCAAGACCUGCAUUUUAUCGUAUCCCCAACAUUUCAUCCUUCCCCAGCUGAUCCCACACGGGCUGCCCACAGGCAGCAGCUCCUCAAGCACUGCUCCCACACGGCUCCGUCCCACGGGCUCCAUCCAUCCAUCCAUCCCCCAGGAGCAAACUGCUCCAGCACGGGUCCCCCACGGCUGGGCGGCAGCUCCCCCCAGACCCCCUGCUCCUGCGGGGGCUCCUCUCCACGGGCUGCAGCUGCGGCCCGGGGCCUGCUCCUGUGGGGGCUCUCCAUGGGCUGCCACAGUAAUGGGUAGUAUUAGGGGCCGUGUAGGCUAAUAGGGGUAGAGUGAGUGAAGUGCUGGAGCUUCUGAGUGCUCUGGGGACAUCCGUACUGCCAAGGACACGUGGCUGAAGCAGAUACUUACAUGGGGCAUUUUCAGGUAGCUGUUGCUGGGAGCCUUAGUUAGAGCUUCAUUUUUUUUCCUGUAACUGGUGGAGAUACCACACAUUGCAUGGAAAAGGCCGAAGUCAUAAGUAUAAAAUGAUCCUGCAAAUCAAAUACCUUCUGCCUUUUUGAGGGUUUUGGCCUCAUCUCAGCCCACUGACAUUUGUGUAAGGUGAGGCCGUGCAGGUGCAGUGUUUAUCCUCACGUCCAGGGCCUCGUGCUGGGUCAACACUGAAGCACUGCAGUGUGCUCAACGCUCUUUGUCCCUGCCCCUUUCCAUUGUGCUGUUAUUUGUCCGUAAUGAGCAGCAUGCUCCGUGCCACGUCACUGGCAGUGCAGGUCACUGUGUGUCUUUGCAUGCAGUCCAAUGAGAAUUGAAUUAUUUCUUUUUUUGUUGUUGUCACCAGUUACUUGUUCGCAAAUGUAA
rnacentral:lncRNA from 1 species